rnacentral:misc_RNA from 1 species
UGGUUCUGGCAUCGAUGAAGAACGCAGCGAAAUGCGAUAAGUAAUGUGAAUUGCAGAAUUCAGUGAAUCAUCGAAUCUUUGAACGCACAUUGCGCCCUCUGGUAUUCCGGGGGGCAUGCCUGUUCGAGCGUCGUUAUCAUCCCUCGAGCCUCCCCUUUGGGGGCGGGCACGGUCUUGGGAGGACACUUAUGCCCCGGCGUAUGUGCCCCCGAAAACUAGCGGCGGUUCGGUGAGAAUCCCAGCGCACUAAAACUUCAAAAAAGUCUCGCUGUUUGGAACCUCUCCCCGGCCUGCCGGUCAACCCUUCAUUGCCCGGGCAGCGGCAUGUUAGCAAACGAUCGACCUCGGAUCAGGCAGGAAUACCCGCUGA